UGGCUGACUGGUAAAGCACUUGGCUUCCAAGCAGGGGUCCCAGGUUCGAAUCCUGG
rnacentral:tRNA from 1 species